rnacentral:rRNA from 1 species
GACGAACGCUGGCGGCGCGCCUAAUACAUGCAAGUAGAACGCUGAAGGAGGAGCUUGCUUCUCUGGAUGAGUUGCGAACGGGUGAGUAACGCGUAGGUAACCUGCCUGGUAGCGGGGGAUAACUAUUGGAAACGAUAGCUAAUACCGCAUAAUAGUAGAUGUUGCAUGACAUUUACUUAAAAGGUGCAAUUGCAUCACUACCAGAUGGACCUGCGUUGUAUUAGCUAGUUGGUGAGGUAACGGCUCACCAAGGCAACGAUACAUAGCCGACCUGAGAGGGUGAUCGGCCACACUGGGACUGAGACACGGCCCAGACUCCUACGGGAGGCAGCAGUAGGAAAUCUUCGGCAAUGGACGGAAGUCUGACCGAGCAACGCCGCGUGAGUGAAGAAGGUUUUCGGAUCGUAAAGCUCUGUUGUAAGAGAAGAACGAGUGUGAGAGUGGAAAGUUCACACUGUGACGGUAUCUUACCAGAAAGGGACGGCUAACUACGUG